UACGGGGGGGGCAAGCGUUGCUCGGAAUUACUGGGCGUAAAGGGCUCGUAGGCGGCCAACUAAGUCAGACGUGAAAUCCCUCGGCUUAACCGGGGAACUGCGUCUGAUACUGGUUGGCUUGAAUCCGGGAGAGGGAUGUGGAAUUCCAGGUGUAGCGGUGAAAUGCGUAGAUAUCUGGAGGAACACCGGUGGCGAAGGCGGCAUCCUGGACCGGUAUUGACGCUGAGGAGCGAAAGCCAGGGGAGCAAACGGG
rnacentral:rRNA from 1 species